rnacentral:rRNA from 1 species
UACGUAGGUGGCAAGCGUUGUCCGGAUUUAUUGGGCGUAAAGGGAACGCAGGCGGUCUUUUAAGUCUGAUGUGAAAGCCUUCGGCUUAACCGGAGUAGUGCAUUGGAAACUGGGAGACUUGAGUGCAGAAGAGGAGAGUGGAACUCCAUGUGUAGCGGUGAAAUGCGUAGAUAUAUGGAAGAACACCAGUGGCGAAGGCGGCUUUCUGGACGAAAACUGACGCUGAGGUACGAAAGCGUGGGGAGCAAACAGG